AACGUACGCUGGCGGCACGCCUAACACAUGCAAGUCGAACGAAGUAGCAAUACUUAGUGGCAGACGGGUGAGUAACAUGUAGGUAUCUGCCCUUUGGCCUGGAAUAACACGAGGAAACUUGUGCUAAUACUGGAUAAGUCUUUACGGAGAAAGCUUUAUGCACCAUUGGAUGAGCCUGCACUUGAUUAGUUUGUUGGUGGGGUAAUGGCCUACCAAGACUGUGAUCAAUAGCUGAUUUGAGAGGAUGAUCAGCCACAUUGGGACUGAGACACGGCCCAAACUCCUACGGGAGGCAGCAGUGGGGAAUCUUGCACAAUGGAGGAAACUCUGAUACAGCGAUGCCGCGUGAG
rnacentral:rRNA from 1 species